GGGUUUCAUAUUUGUAAAAUAAUAAAAAUGAAGGGAGUAAAAAAUAAAUCAAAGUGGAAAAUAAAAUGGAAAAAAUAAAUAAACAAAAUAACAUAAGGUAAAAAUAAAAUGGUCAGUGUGCACACGCAGGGGGUCAAACCCCUAACCUUGGGGUCAUGGGGGGAUCAACCCCCUCACCCACUAGGCCAAAGGCCCGGUUGUGAUAUUAAACAGAAU
rnacentral:lncRNA from 1 species